CUGGCGGCGUGCUUAACACAUGCAAGUCGAACGAGGGAAUUCUUUUCGGAGAAUAUACCGAGUGGCAAACGGGUGAGUAACGCGUAGGCAACCUGCCUUCAAGAUGGGGACAACAGUCCGAAAGGGCUGCUAAUACCGAAUGACAUGUCUGAACCGCAUGGGACGGACAGCAAAGACGGCCUCCAAACUAUGCUGUCGCUUGAAGAUGGGCCUGCGUCUGAUUAGCUAGUUGGUGAGAUAACAGCCCACCAAGGCGACGAUCAGUAGCCGGUCUGAGAGGAUGAACGGCCACAUUGGGACUGAGACACGGCCCAGACUCCUACGGGAGGCAGCAGUGGGGAAUCUUCCGCAAUGGGCGAAAGCCUGACGGAGCAACGCCGCGUGAGUGAUGACGGCCUUCGGGUUGUAAAGCUCUGUGAUCGGGGACGAACGGACUUACUGCUAAUACCGGUAAGUAGUGACGGUACCCGAAUAGCAAGCCACGGCUAACUACGUGCC
rnacentral:rRNA from 1 species